GACGAACGCUGGCGGCGUGCUUAACACAUGCAAGUCGAGCGGUAAGGCACCUUCGGGUGUACACGAGCGGCGAACGGGUGCGUAACACGUGAGUAAUCUGCCCUUCACUUUGGGAUAAGCCCGGGAAAUCGGGUCUAAUACCGGAUAUUCUCUGAUCCACGCAUGUGGGUUGGUGGAAAGCUUUUGUGGUGGAGGAUGGGCUCGCGGCCUAUCAGCUUGUUGGUGGGGUAAUGGCUUACCAAGGCUUUGACGGGUAGCCGGCCUGAGAGGGUGACCGGCCACACUGGGACUGAGACACGGCCCAGACUCCUACGGGAGGCAGCAGUGGGGAAUAUUGGACAAUGGGCGGAAGCCUGAUCCAGCAACGCCGCGUGAGGGAUGACGGCCUUCGGGUUGUAAACCUCUUUCAGUACCGACGAAGCGAAAGUGACGGUAGGUACAGAAGAAGCACCGGCCAACUACGUGCCAGCAGCCGCGGUAAUACGUAGGGUGCGAGCGUUGUCCGGAAUUAUUGGGCGUAAAGGGCUCGUAGGCGGUUUGUUGCGUCGGGAGUGAAAACCCAGGGCUUAACUCUGGGCUUGCUUCCGAUACGGGCUGACUAGAGGUAUGCAGGGGAGAACGGAAUUCCUGGUGUAGCGGUGAAAUGCGCAGAUAUCAGGAGGAACACCGGUGGCGAAGGCGGUUCUCUGGGCAUUACCUGACGCUGAGGAGCGAAAGUGUGGGGAGCGAACAGGAUUAGAUACCCUGGUAGUCCACACCGUAACGUUGGGCGCUAGGUGUGGGACUCAUUCCACGAGUUCCGUGCCGCAGCUAACGCAUUAAGCGCCCCGCCUGGGGAGUACGGCCGCAAGGCUAAACUCAAAUGAAUUGACGGGG
rnacentral:rRNA from 1 species